rnacentral:rRNA from 1 species
CACCCUUUAAUGUUUGAUGUUCUAACGUGGACCCGUAAUCCGGGUUGCGGACAGUGUCUGGUGGGUAGUUUGACUGGGGCGGUCUCCUCCUAAAGAGUAACGGAGGAGCACGAAGGUUGGCUAAUCCUGGUCGGACAUCAGGAGGUUAGUGCAAUGGCAUAAGCCAGCUUGACUGCGAGCGUGACGGCGCGAGCAGGUGCGAAAGCAGGUCAUAGUGAUCCGGUGGUUCUGAAUGGAAGGGCCAUCGCUCAACGGAUAAAAGGUACUCCGGGGAUAACAGGCUGAUACCGCCCAAGAGUUCAUAUCGACGGCGGUGUUUGGCACCUCGAUGUCGGCUCAUCACAUCCUGGGGCUGAAGUAGGUCCCAAGGGUAUGGCUGUUCGCCAUUUAAAGUGGUACGCGAGCUGGGUUUAGAACGUCGUGAGACAGUUCGGUCCCUAUCUGCCGUGGGCGCUGGAGAACUGAGGGGGGCUGCUCCUAGUACGAGAGGACCGGAGUGGACGCAUCACUGGUGUUCGGGUUGUCAUGCCAAUGGCACUGCCCGGUAGCUAAAUGCGGAAGAGAUAAGUGCUGAAAGCAUCUAAGCACGAAACUUGCCCCGAGAUGAGUUCUCCCUGAGACUUAGAGUCUCCUGAAGGAACGUUGAAGACGACGACGUUGAUAGGCCGGGUGUGUAAGCGCAGCGAUGCGUUGAGCUAACCGGUACUAAUGAACCGUGAGGCUUAACCUUACAACGCCGAAG